GAUGAACGCUGGCGGCGUGCCUAAUACAUGCAAGUCGAGCGAACAGACGAGGAGCUUGCUCCUCUGACGUUAGCGGCGGACGGGUGAGUAACACGUGGAUAACCUACCUAUAAGACUGGGAUAACUUCGGGAAACCGGAGCUAAUACCGGAUAAUAUAUUGAACCGCAUUGUUCAAUAGUGAAAGACGGUUUUGCUGUCACUUAUAGAUGGAUCCGCGCCGCGUUAGCUAGUUGGUAAGGUAACGGCUUACCAAGGCGACGAUGCGUAGCCGACCUGAGAGGGUGAUCGGCCACACUGGAACGGAGCCAGGGUCCAGACUCCUACGGGAGGCAGCAGUAGGGAAUCGUACGCAAUGGGCGAAAGCCUGACGGAGCAACGCAGCGUGAGUGAUGAAGGUCUUCGGAUCGUAAAAAUCUGUUAUUAGGGAAGAACAAAUGUGUAAGUAACUAUGCACGUAUUGACGGUACCUAAUCAGAAAGCCACGGCUAACUACGUG
rnacentral:rRNA from 1 species